rnacentral:rRNA from 1 species
GGCGUGCUUAACACAUGCAAGUCGAGCGGUAACGCGGGGGCAACCCUGGCGACGAGCGGCGAACGGGUGCGUAAUGCAUGGGAAUCUGCCCAGUAGUGGGGAAUAACCCGGGGAAACCCGGGCUAAUACCGCAUACGACCUUUGGACCGCAUGAUCCGGAGGUGAAAGGUGGCCUCUCUUUGAAGCUGCCGUUGUAGGAUGGUUCCGCCUCCCAUUAGCUUGUUGGUGGGGUAAUGGCCUACCAAGGCGACGAUGGGUAGCCGGCCUGAGAGGGUGUCCGGCCACACUGGGACUGAGAUACGGCCCAGACUCCUACGGGAGGCAGCAGUCGAGAAGCUUCGGCAAUGGGCGAAAGCCUGACCGAGCGAUGCCGCGUGAGUGAAGAAGGCCCUAUGGGUUGUAAAGCUCUGUCAGAUUGGGAAGAAAAUCCUACGGUUAAUACCCGUGGGACUUGACGGUACCAUCAGAGGAAGCACCGGCUAACUCCGUGCCAGCAGCCGCGGUAAUACGGAGGGUGCAAGCGUUGUUCGGAUUCACUGGGUAUAAAGGGUGCGCAGGCGGCCUGGUAAGUCAGGGGUGAAAUAUGACGGCUUAACCGUCAAACUGCCCCUGAAACUGUCAGGCUUGAGUUCGAGAGAGGUAGGUGGAAUUCCAGGUGUAGCGGUGAAAUGCGUAAAUAUC